rnacentral:tRNA from 1 species
GGGGUUGUACCUCAGUGGCAGAGUGCUUGCUUAGCAUGUAUGAGACACUGGGUUUGAUCCUCAGCACCACA